CUACGGGUGGCUCCAGUGAGGAAUAUUGCACAAUGGGGGGAACCCUGAUGCAGCAACGCCGCGUGGAGGAUGACGCAUUUCGGUGUGUAAACUCCUUUUAUAUGUCAAGAAAAUGACGGUAGCAUAUGAAUAAGCACCGGCUAACUCCGUGCCAGCAGCCGCGGUAAUACGGAGGGUGCAAGCGUUACUCGGAAUCACUGGGCGUAAAGGACGCGUAGGCGGGUUGGAAAGUCAGAUGUGAAAUCCUACAGCUUAACUGUAGAACUGCACUUGAAACUUCUAAUCUAGAGUAUGGGAGGGGGAGAGGGAAUUAGUGGUGUAGGGGUAAAAUCCGUAGAUAUCACUAGGAAUACCUAAAGCGAAGGCGAUCUCCUGGAACAUUACUGACGCUAAGGCGUGAAAGCGUGGGGAGCAAACAGGAUUAGAUACCCGCGUAGUC
rnacentral:rRNA from 1 species